CCCCACACAAGGCCCCAGGGUCCCCUUAGAUGUCUGAGAGGGACAAAUGUGGAGCCCCACCCGGCUGCCUGACUGGGGGCAGGUGGGGCUUCUUCUCCACCAGGACUUUAGAGCAGCAUCAUUGAGCCUGUCAAACCUCAGGCUCCCUUUUCGUAGAGGUGGAAACCUUCCUACUUUUUUAAUGCUGUUUGAAAUUUCAAAAUAAUAUUCUACGUUUGAAAAAAGUGAGCGUAACAUUGAAUGUGCUUUUCCCUCCACAAGUGUCCUGUCCUCCAGCCUGGAGGGUCUGACACCCUCCCAGGGGAGAGGCACCCCAGUUGGAGUCACAGACUAGUGGCCGUGGUGGAAUGGUCACAGAAAUACCCGGUGACAGGCGCACCCCAGUGACAUCUGGCCCUUGCCUGAGACAGGCCGGCUCUGGGAACCAUCCCUGGCUGUCUCCUCCGGCUCGCCGUCCCUUCCUUGUCUGGGUUGGUCAUUCCCUUGUACUCAGUGUCUGCAUUGUCACUCUGCAGUCGUGGCCGGACUUAGUGCUCCAUCCACACAGGCCAGCGUUCUUCCCCACGAGGGACUGUGUCAUGGGCAUCUCUUGACACCCACGCUGAGCCCAUACCAGGCACCCACCAUGUCCUGCACAGAUGCCUGUUGAAGGAAUGAGUGAAUUCCUUGAGACCCAGCUGUGUCUCAUGGGGUCCCCCUUUGAUGGUACAUUAAUAAAUUUGCUGGUUUUUAAAACCUCCCUCUCAGCUUCAGGUUGAAUAACCCAUUUCCACUCCUUUGCCCAAAUUCUUGUUUACAGCCACGGCUGCCUCCACUCAUGCUCCUGUCUGUCACCCACCCUGCAUGCCCCCGGGGCCCAUCAAGACAGCUCACAUCUUUGUUUCCCAUGACUGCCUAGAAAAGAGGCAGAAACUGAGCACAGAGUCUCCGUCCUGAGAGAUGAUGCUGAGGAUAACCUGGACCUGGAAGGGUUAACCGGGGCCGAUGCAGAUAGAGAAACAGCCACUCCCCACCUCCAGGCAGCCAGCAGCUUCAUCCUGACCGGGUAUCCAGGGCCCAUCAGAGAGUGGGGCACAAGCACAGAGCUUUGUCCCAAAACAAUCGGAUCUUUCCUCGUUGAAGACUCGAGUUCCAGCGUCGGGAACACACCGUGCAACGUGAAAUGCACACGUGUAGGCUGACUGCUUCACAGUGGCUCUGUGCCUGUGCUGAGAGCAGCUGGACAUGGUCAUGUCUUCUUCCCCUGUUUUCCUGCGGUCAGGGUUGGGGGGACGAGCAUCACUGCCACCUGCUUCCUAAUGAGAGACCGUCUCACCGACACACUUCAGUUGAUUGGAACUCUUGGGCAAGUCCUUUUCCAGAUGCGUUCUGCUCUUUCGUCCACUCCUCCGUUUGAUGUGACCCUCAUUGAGGACAAAGGGCUGUGCCUUGCUCAUCCUCAUCAUUCCUAGAACAGUGCCUUCCAUCUGGUAUUGAAUAAAUGCUUGUUGAAUUGAAGCAUCAAAUAUUUUCAAA